GGAGUCUGGACCGUGUCUCAGUUCCAGUGUGGGGGACCUUCCUCUCAGAACCCCUAGCCAUCGUCGCCUCGGUGGGCCGUUACCCCGCCGACUAGCUAAUGGCACGCGAGCCUAUCCGUCACCAACGAAUCUUUCAACAACCGUCCAUGCGGACAACUGUGUUACGUGGUAUUACACACCGUUUCCAGUGCCUAUCCCACAGUGACGGGCAAGUUGCUCACGCGUUACGCACCCUUCCGCCGGUCGCCGCCAGUGUAUUGCUACACCGCGAUGCCCCUCGACUUGCAUGUGUUAAGCCUGCCGCUAGCGUUCAUC
rnacentral:rRNA from 1 species